CCUACGGGAGGCAGCAGUGGGGAAUAUUGGGCAAUGGAGGAAACUCUGACCCAGCGACGCCGCGUGCGGGAUGAAGGCCUUCGGGUUGUAAACCGCUUUCAGCAGGGAAGAAGCGAAAGUGACGGUACCUGCAGAAGAAGCACCGGCUAACUAUGUGCCAGCAGCCGCGGUAAUACAUAGGGUGCAAGCGUUGUCCGGAAUUAUUGGGCGUAAAGAGCUCGUAGGUGGUUCGUCACGUCGGAUGUGAAAAUCUGGGGCUUAACCCCAGACCUGCAUUCGAUACGGGCGAGCUUGAGUAUGGUAGGGGAGUCUGGAAUUCCUGGUGUAGCGGUGGAAUGCGCAGAUAUCAGGAGGAACACCAAUGGCGAAGGCAGGACUCUGGGCCAUUACUGACACUGAGGAGCGAAAGCGUGGGGAGCGAACAGGAUUAGAUACCCUGGUAGUCCGACGACCGUAACGGUACGGCGACUAGUUAGUGGGUACCGUCCGUACGUCGUCUGCGACGCGACGCUACGCAUUAGUCGCCCGCCGUCGGGAGGUACGACGUCGCGAGAAUUAAACUAACGAAGGAAGUAGACGGCGNGAGACGUGCCGACGGACGACGACGAGGGAGGAGG
rnacentral:rRNA from 1 species